AUGAACUUGAAUGUCUUCUGCUCCAGGACUUACAUCCAUUCAUGUUCUUAUCUAAAACAUUUUAAAAGGCUCAUGCAGCAACCUUCUAAUUUUCUAUCACAUCACUUCCCAAUUCACAGGUUUCUUUAGAGAAAAUAAAAAAAACAAUCUGAAAAACUAUGCAGGCUACUGAAACAUGUGCAACCUCUCAGUUAUUGUAGGUCAGGAUGAUCUGGCAGUGUAGAGUGACAUGCUGGAAUCAGCAUUGCUUUGGACUGAGAGGAGGAGCAGACAGCAAAAGCUCAGUGUCCUCAGCAGACACAGAUCUGCUUCUUCAGUCACUUACAGAAGCAAAUCUAUGAAGGCAGAGGAGGGGGUGAUUUCCUGCAACCUUUCCAGUCUGUUUUCAGAACAAGUAUUUUCAUGGGUGGAGGAGAUCCUUUCAGAUAAAUUUGUGGAAAACCAGAAAGAUUUUCAGAAUGUUUUGCAGUCCUGUGAUCCUGAGUGUACAGGCACAAUGAAUAGAAGUCCUACAGCUUCUACAGCUACAGUUGUGUUGUCCCUCUUUGCCAGAUCAACAGUUUGGGAGGCAAGUUGAUGGUGUGUGAAUUGUAACAGGUUUAAGUGCAAUGCCAAGUGCAAGGCAGCCCUGCCUCCAAUGCUAUAAAUAAGAAGCAGCUCUGCAAGUCAGGAAGAUGCUGUGUGCUGCAAGCAGAAAUUAUACAGUGUGGCUCAAAGAUGCAAAAUACUCCUGAAGCAGCUGGAGAGUAAUUAAAUCAAUGGAGAAGACAUGCCAGGAUGCCCAGUUCUGAUUUUAAUACUUUGAAAUUUGUCAUCUGCAGCUUUGUCUGGGAACAAGUUCACUGUUUAAUCACUCAUGGUCUGCAAAAGGGUAAAUUCAGGGAUUACCUCCAAGAUUUCAAUAAUGCCUUCCAUAAAGGAUAAAAAUAGAGAUGGCUAUGUAAAAAUGUGUGGCCUGCACAAGACAUUACAAGAAUUCAAGCCUUAUCUUGAUGAUAAUGAUUUCAGCAGUUUUCUAAACAGCUUAGGAAUCAGCAUUCAUGACAGCAAGCUCUCUUAUUUUGAUUUCCUGAGAGCAAUUGAGGAUGGCAGAGCAUCUGAAUACCAGCAGAAACAAAAGCAGGCUGUACCACCUGCAAGCUUUGCAGAGCUCAGCGUACAACAAACCCUAAUAAAGAUAAAGGAAACAGUUACAUCAUCUUAGGAUUUGUUGUAUAAGCCUACUGAAAUGCAGCAUCCUCUAGAGGAAAUAGCUCUUCCUGCCACAGCAAGAUUGUUAUCAAGCAUGGGAAAGAACAAUCAAAAAAACCUUGAAGAAAACCCUGCCAUCACAAAGAACUCUAGAGCUGUGUCAUCUGCACCUGCAGUUUCAGGCCCAGUUUAAGCUCGUGCUUUUAGAGGCGGAUCCUGUAUCCCCAGCAGUGUGGUCCUGCCUUCUGCCUUGGUCAAAAGCAGCCCUUUUCUUCUGGCCCUGUGACCUGAGGCAAGGAGCAUCGAUGUUGUAAAAGCCUGGCCAGCUGUGUGUGGCCACAGGGGACCUGCUGCCUGCACAGGAGAGGGAAAAGGAACAGUCCCUGAGAGGAUAAUGGGGAUGGAAACCUCCUGUCACCAAUUGGUGGAUUAUCAAUGGCUUCAUUUCUGAAACCUCAUCUGUGCAGUCAAGGAUAACACAGCUCCCAGCAAACACGCUGCUAGUGAUGUCCCUGGAAGUAGAAUCCAAAGAAGAGUUCCACAGAGGUGCUGCUGCUUUACAGAAAUCUCUUUUCACACUAUCCAGAGGCUCCUGGAAUGUUUGUUCCAAACUUAUUGGGGUCACAUUGCCACAACUUUGAUCACAACAAACUGACCCACAGCUUUUCUAGACUCUGGUAUUUCUGCCACUCUCUUGAACUGCUGUCUCCAAAUUGCUGCUGCUGCAACUCUUCCCUAAACAGUUUCCCCUGGGAAACCUAUGGAAAACUCCCACAAGGAAUAGGCUGGGAAUUUUGUGCAAGGGAGGAUGAGAAGAAAGUAAGCCUUCAGGAUGACCUGAAGUUAAUGAGGAUGAAAGGCUAUUGAGUCCUUUAUAGAGCAGAAAAUGAACUUGCCUCACCAACAGUCAUGGUAGGAGUGACAAAAGGCAAAUUGAAUAUACUCAGGCAUUUUCUCUGUUGGAGAAAGAUAACAGUGGAGUAAGUAAGAACUGAAAUUUCAUCAAGUACUUGGCCAUUUCCCCUUUAAAUGAUGAGACAAACAGUUCAGGCACCUUCUCAAGAACCCCAGCUUUUCAGCAGCUCUCUGACCACAGAAAGCAAUGCACAACUUCCCCAGGCACUGUCCUGGAAAAGGCUGUGAGAAGAUCAGAGAAAAGAAUGACAAACAAUUGUUAUCUUCACUUGCUGCACCUGUUGUUGUGAACAUGUGGAAUGUGUUAAGGAGAUCUGCCGCACCAAAGGGUGGUUUCUGAAUUGGCCAGUGGUGAUGGUGUUUAGAUUGAUGGAACAAUUGGGUCCACCUGUAUUGUGGCUGUCUGUAAGGGCAAUGGGUUUCUUAAUAAGUGUAGUGUAAUAAAGUGAUUGAUCAGCCUUUGGAGAAUCAUGGAGUCGAUGCUAAUUGUUACCCAGCUAGAGGCCUGCAGCAACACCUCUCAGUCUGCCUUUUCCAGCAGGAAGCAGGUGUGAGUAGAUCUGAGCGUUCAGGAGUCCAAAUGAUUUCUUUACAGCUAAUUUCUGAACCUGGCUAAGGAUGUGAAAGCUGGUUACUAGAAAAGAGUACUAACUUGCAGGUUAUGUCCUAAGAAAUAAACCAUGUUUCAUUUUUGAAAGUACAUGCUCGAACCACAAGUAAAAUGAAAAAAAAA